rnacentral:misc_RNA from 1 species
AACGGUCUAUACCUGCGGUACCUGCGGAGGGAUCAUUACCGAGUUAUCCAACUCCCAACCCCUGUGAAUCAUACCUUUAAUUGUUGCUUCGGCGGGACUUCGCGCCCGCCGGGGACCCAAACCUUCUGAAUUUUUUAAUAAGUAUCUUCUGAGUGGUUAAAAAAAAUGAAUCAAAACUUUCAACAAUGGAUCUCU